AAUGAACGUUGGCGGCGUGGAUUAGGCAUGCAAGUCGCGCGAGAAGUUUCCUUCGGGAGACGGACAGCGGCGGAAGGGAGAGGAAUAAGUAGAAAUCUGCCCUCGGGACGGGGAGUAGCGGCGGGAAACGUAGCCGGUAAUACCCGACUAACAUCUUUGGUAUCAAAUAGGUGUGAUUCCGCCUGAGGAUGAGUCUACUUCCUAUUAGCUAGUUGGUGUGGUAAUGGCUCACCAAGGCAACGAUGGGUAGCGGGUGUGAGAGCACGAUCCGCCUCACUGGGACUGAGACACUGCCCAGACACCUACGGGUGGCUGCAGUCGAGAAUCUUCGGCAAUGGGGGAAACCCUGACCGAGCGACGCCGCGUGCGGGA
rnacentral:rRNA from 1 species